CCUACGGGAGGCAGCAGUAGGGAAUAUUGCUCAAUGGGCGAAACCCUGAAGCAGCAACGCCGCGUGGAGGAUGAAGGUUUUCGGAUUGUAAACUCCUUUUGUUAGAGAAGAUAAUGACGGUAUCUAACGAAUAAGCACCGGCCAACCCCGUGCCAGCAGCCGCGGUAAUACGGAGGGUGCAAGCGUUACUCGGAAUGACUGGGCGGAAAGAGCGCGUAGGCGGGAUAGCAAGUCAGAUGUGAAAUCCUAUGGCUUAACCAUAGAACUGCAUUUGAAACUGUUAGUCUAGAGUAUGGGAGAGGUAGGUAGAAUUCUUGGUGUAGGGGUAAAAUGCGUAGAGAUCAAGAGGAAUACUCAUUGCGAAGGCGACCUGCUAGAACAAAACUGACGCUGAUGCGCGAAAGCGUGGGGAGCAAACAGGAUUAGAUACCCGUGUAGUC
rnacentral:rRNA from 1 species